rnacentral:rRNA from 1 species
AAAUUGAAGAGUUUGAUCAUGGCUCAGAUUGAACGCUGGCGGCAGGCCUAACACAUGCAAGUCGAACGGUAACAGGAAGCAGCUUGCUGCUUCGCUGACGAGUGGCGGACGGGUGAGUAAUGUCUGGGAAACUGCCUGAUGGAGGGGGAUAACUACUGGAAACGGUGGCUAAUACCGCAUAAUGUCGCAAGACCAAAGAGGGGGACCUUCGGGCCUCUUGCCAUCAGAUGUGCCCAGAU